rfam:Candidate division WOR_3 bacterium SM23_60 WORSMTZ_5258, whole genome shotgun sequence.
GGGCGGUUAGCUCAGUCUUGGUUAGAGCGUCUGCUUGACAUGCAGGAGGUCACGCGUUCAAGUCGCGUACCGCCCA